rnacentral:tRNA from 1 species
GCCGGCAUAGCUCAGUUGGCUAGAGCAGCUGAUUUGUAAUCAGCAGGUCGUGGGUUCGAGUCCCUCUGCCGGCU